rnacentral:tRNA from 2 species
GGAAGGUUCUCCGAGCUGGCCGAAGGAGCACGCCUGGAAAGUGUGUAGGCGUCACAAGCGUCUCAAGGGUUCGAAUCCCUUACCUUCCG